CUGGGUUUUACUUAGCAAUGGUGCUUUUCUGAAUAUUUACUGGCAAAAAAUAGGAAAUCAUUGAUGCAGCAUCAUAUGUCCCGCCACCUCCCUCAGAAGAGCAAAAAAAGAAAAUUGCCAAGAUGGCUGCUAUAGGCGAACAGAAACGCCUUAAAAGCAAGAAGGUGCUUUCAGAUAAGAAAGCAUUUAGGAGGAGUAAAAAUAGCUGGGACUAGCAUGACAAGAAUCUUGAGACUGUUAUAUCAAUUUAGUUGCUGAAUCACAAUCCUAUUACACUAUCAUACUGGAUACACACAUUAGAUUAAUGGUUGAAAUAUAACCAUGAAUUCGCGGAACAAUUAGAAAGACUUUACAAAUGGUUUGUAGCUGCUUACUGGUAGUUAGCCAACAUUGUGAUGUAGCUAGGAUUUGGACGGUUACUAUUUUGAAAUAGAAAUACCAUAUAUUGGUUGAAUCCAUAAUGUUUUCUGUGAGCUUUUUGUCAUUUUUGUUCGCCUUUGGCAAGUGUCAUCUAUUUACAUUGCAAGUCAACCUUGGAAACGUGCUUCUCUUGAGAACAUGUCAUAAAGGUAAGCUGGAAGGUUGGUU